AAAGAAGGAAGAAGAAGAAGAAGAAAAAAAAAGAGGAGGAGGAGAAUAAGAGGAAAUAUAGACAAAGAGGAAGAAAAAGAGGAGAAGAAGAAAAGAAGAAGAAGAAGAAGAAUAAGAAGAAGAAGAAGAAGAAGAAGAAGAAGAGAAGAAAAGGAAGAAGAAGAGGAGAAGAAGGAUAAGUACAGGAGAAAAAGAUGAAAAUAGAAGUGGCAAAGUAGUUAUCUAUAUAGAGUUUUUUCUAUCGGGAUUGAAUAUUCGUGUUGAUCGUGUGGAUUUAAAUGUGAGUUGUUUCUUCUCUUCGAGGGUUU
rnacentral:lncRNA from 1 species